ACCACAUUUACACAUGAAUCAUCAUUCUGCCAUCAUUUACUCACCCCCAUACUGUUUCAAACCGCCGUGACUUUUAUUCUUCUGCUAAACACAAACGGGGAACUAAUGAAAGCUGUGAUCAAAGCGAAUCUCCAGAGCUGCUCUGAGAGUCACUUCAGCCGCAUUUCACCAUUUCAUCUGAGAAAACUAUCAGCAGAUAAACACACAAACUCACAGCAAGCCGCCAAAAUAAGUUCUGUUUGAAAUUAUCACAAACAUAUAUUAAUGUUGUACAAAAAUUAAUUCUCAAUGCACCAAUUUAUUGAAAAUUAUAAAUGUAUGUAAACCAUUUGAGCAACAAUAGAAGUGCUUUUGAUCAUGUAAAGAAAGAAAUGAAUCAUCUUCAGAUCUGAUGUGAAUCGCACUGCUCUCUGUUGUCAGAGAGAAACAUGAGGCUCAUGUCAAAGGUGUUCUAGUUGGAGGCCGUUUUCUGGCUCUGACGUGGGCGCCGGUUACCUGUGUGUUUGUAGGAUGUUGGAGAGGAAGAGAAGAGCCAAACCAGCCGUGCAAAUCCCAGAUUAGAGUGAAAUGAUCUGAUAGUAGUGUUCAACACUCCCCUUCCUGAAGCAUUUUCAUGCCUUUUAUAUGUAACACUGAUGGUGUAAUGAGCGGAACGCUGGAUAAGACUGGGAAAUUGUGCUGCAGUAGAUGAGAUGUGAAUGAAAGCAGGUGGUCGCUGUAGAUUUCCCCACAAAUUUUCAUUACGGUAACAACAGAAACACUGAUAUUCAUACAGAAAAUUCUGCUUUUUUAAAAUAUAAAGUAGUUAUUUAUUUGACCCACUUGGGGGCUUGGAUAUAAGAUUGGAUUUUAAAAAAGUGUAAUUUCUGGACCUGAAAAAGUCUUUUUAACUUGUAAAUUAAUAUCUUAAAGGGUUAAUUCACCCAAAAAUGAAAAUUCUGUCAUUAAUUACACACCCUCAUGUUGUUCCAAACCUGUAAGACUUUCACUCAUCUUCAGAACACAAAUGAAGAUCUUUUAAUGAAAUCUGAGCCAGUUCUGUACCCAUCAGGUCCAGUCCAAGGACCACUUUGACGCUUUAAAAAGUUCAUAAAGAGAUCGUAAAACUAAUCCAUAUGAAUUAAAUGGUUUAGUCCAAAUUUUCUGAAGAGAUACGAUCACUUUAUAUGAUGAACAGAUUAAAUGUAGACUUUUAUUCACAUAUAGACAUUCAGCAACUCACAUCAGUUGACGUAAAUGGAAGCUGAAGUAUGUUCAGUUGAUGUGUGAGAACCAAUGAGGUUCAUUCUCAUGUUACGCAUCACAUUUGAGCUUCAGCGAGAACCAAUGAGGUUCAUUCUCAUGUUACGCAGCACAUUUGAGCUUCAGCAAGAACCAAUGAGGUUCAUUCUCGCGUUACGCAUCACAUUUGAGCUUCAGCAAGAACCAAUGAGGUUCAUUCUCGUGUUACGCAUCACAUUUGAGCUUCAGCAAGAACCAAUGAGGUUCAUUCUCAUGUUACGCAGCACGUUUGAGCUUCAUCGAGAACCAAUGAGGUUCAUUCUCCUGUUACGCAGCACGUUUGAGCUUCAGCAAGAACCAAUGAGGUUCAUUCUCGUGUUACGCAUCACAUUUGAGCUUCUGCGAGAACCAAUGAGGUUCAUUCUCGUGUUACGCAUCACAUUUGAGCUUCAGCAAGAACCAAUAAGGUUCAUUCUCGUGUUACGCAGAACAUUUGAGCUUCCUCAAGAACCAAUGAGGUUCAUUCUCGUGUUACGCAUCACAUUUGAGCUUCAGCAAGAACCAAUAAGGUUCAUUCUCGUGUUACGCAGCACGUUUGAGCUUCCUCAAGAACCAAUAAGGUUCAUUCUCGUGUUACGCAGCACGUUUGAGCUUCCUCAAGAACCAAUGAGGUUCAUUCUCGUGUUACGCAUCACAUUUGAGCUUCAGCAAGAACCAAUAAGGUUCAUUCUCGUGUUACGCAGCACGUUUGAGCUUCCUCAAGAACCAACGAGGUUCAUUCUCGUGUUACGCACCAAAAAAAAAGUGUAAACCAGAACGUUCAGUUUUUGAAAUUAUGGAAGUUAAUCAUUUAUAAUGCUUUUAUUUAAUUAUUUUAACAUAUUACCAAAAAAGUUUCAGUUGCUCUGACUUCAGUCCCUCAUGUUUUCACUGAAGCUCAGUGAUC